rnacentral:rRNA from 1 species
ACGCUCGACACCUACGGGAGGCNCCAGUGGGGAAUAUUGCACAAUGGGGGAAACCCGUGAUGCAGCGACGCCGCGUGAGCGAAGAAGUAUUUCGGUAUGUAAAGCUCUAUCAGCAGGGAAGAAACUGACGGUACCUGACCAAGAAGCACCGGCUAAAUACGUGCCAGCAGCUGCGGUAAUCUGAGCGGGCUGGCAAGGC